UUAUAUUUAUUACUCACACAUAUCGACACAUUCUCCGGGGUGCCUGCGUUUUUUUAAACUAGAUGGUCGGAUUGAAUGGGAUAUGUGGACGCCUAAC
rnacentral:sRNA from 1 species